GGGGGUGUAGCUCAGUGGUAGAGCACGUGCUUAGCAUGCACAAGGUCCUGGGUUCAAUCCUCAGUACCUCCA
rnacentral:tRNA from 1 species